rnacentral:rRNA from 1 species
GACGGACGGUGCAAGCGUUGCUCGGAAUCACUGGGCGUAAAGGGCGCGUAGGCGGCUCGGAAAGUCGGUCGUGAAAGGCUGGGGCUCAACCCCAGGACUGCGUCCGAUACUUCCGAGCUGGAGGCAGGUAGGGGAGAUCGGAAUUCCUGGUGUAGCGGUGAGAUGCGCAGAUAUCAGGAGGAACACCGGUGGCGAAGGCGGAUCUCUGGGCCUUGCCUGACGCUGAGGCGCGAAAGCUAGGGGAGCGAACAGG